rnacentral:rRNA from 1 species
UGUAGCUUUGCAUUGGACUUUGAACCAAUCUGUGUAGGAUAGGUGGGAGGCUUUGAAGCGGGGACGCCAGUUCCCGUGGAGCCAUCCUUGAAAUACCACCCUGGUUUGUUUGAGGUUCUAACCUUGGCCCGUAAUCCGGGUCGGGGACAGUGCAUGGUAGGCAGUUUGACUGGGGCGGUCUCCUCCUAAAGUGUAACGGAG